CUCUGCCUUUGGCGACACAGAGCUGAUGAGCCUGUGAUACUGAGGGUGCCACGGUCAGCAGAUGGCACAGCUUGCAGUGACUCUCCUCCUCUGCUGUGCUGCAUCACUUCCCACCAAUGGCACAGACACUGCCACUUGAGAAAACACCUCAGAAAUAGCACUCCAGCAAAGAAUUUGGACUUCAAGUGAUGGCAGAUCUCCUGUGUUGCUGGUCAGGUACAGGACAAGCAACAGCAAUCUGAGAUUUCCUGUGCUGCUUUACACAUCCCUGACCUCUGCAAUGACCCAAACUUCUAUGGAGGUGAUCAGACUUACAGGAAAAAGUGGAUGCUCCAGGCUUUUUAAUCUUUGAUAACAAUAAAAUACCAGUGAUUGAGACAAGGUGGAUGCUUCUCUUCUGUCCCUUGCUGGAUCCUGAGGACGCUGAACCUUUACAACACUGAACUUGAGGAUAUGUAAGAUUCAGUACUGCUGCUCCAUGUACAGAUACAGGUAGAAUGGGUCUUCAGUGAAAAGUAAUUUUGCUGUCGUAUCCGAGUGGAGUUUUAUGUUGUUAACUAAUUUCAUAUUAACUGGGAACUUUUUAACCUGCCAUUAGCUGCACAGGCAAGUGAAAUACUACAGACUUGACAGAGUUACUUCUCCCUAUUCCAGGUUGUAAUUCUGCAAGGGAGGAGGGAUUUUGGGUUACUUUUGUUACUUGAACCUGAAGAGUGGAGAGAGGGUGGUUGGUGAAAUACAAGUGUGUGUCACUGGUGAGAAUCCCUUGGGAUUAUAUUAGUGAGCAGCCAGUUAGGGAGAAGUUAGUAAAAAUUAUGUGGAGGUGCUUUGCUUUAACUUCCUCUGCACACCUUUCACCAGUUUUUGUAGCUUUC